GUUCAUACCAUCCAGCCAAAGUUUAGUAUAUAAAGCUUGAACCCCUUCCCCCACAAAAAAGAAUUGGUUUCGUUUUUUAUUUUUCGGUUUUCGUUUUGAUUAAUAUUACCACUAAGUACCAGUUUUUUCGGUUUAGGUUUUAAUUAAAAAUACCUAUAUCCCUUUUUUUGGCUGAUUCGAAUUGGUUCCCGGACCCUAGUGAUUUUGAUAUUAGUUGGGUCCCGGUUUUCGGUAAAUAAUAUACUAGUUGGCACCAAACGUUUAAAAGCAAUAUAAAGCAUUUUCCUUCUCG